GGGAGACGAUGCUGGAACAGGGGCUGCGUCAUUUCGGGGCUGGGAGACGGCUCGGCUCCCCUCCGCCGCUUCCCUGUCUGCGGGCAGGGAGGACAGAUACCCGCAGGCCAGGGCAGGGUGCGGGGCGCUGCGGGGUCGGAACCACCUCCGCCUGCCCUUCUCCGCAAGCCCCCGGGGCCAGGACGGGGAAGGAAAACCCCACGCUGGGAAAAGCGAUAAGCCGCCUUCGGUCUGCCUAGCGAUGCCAGAAAAGACAGGGGCAGGGAGAAAACUACGGGACUCGUCGGCCGCAAAGCAGUAGGCAGGACGGGUCACGAACAAGGGCCCGAGGCAGGGCCAGCUCCCGCGGGGGUAACAGGGUCCCGGGACGGCGAGGGUAGGAGGAAUGAUCGGCAUUUAUAACGCCGGGGAGGCUCACAGCCUUUCAAAGAGUUUCAGCUGGGGCUUGCCACAAACCGAUUUCUUCUCCUUCAGACCCAGGGGGCUGGAGAAGCUGUCCCUCCAAGGCUCCCUGGCAUCUACUGGGGGGACAUGUACCUCUCUAAACGGGCCCUGGAGUCAUGAUGGACUUGAGCGAAGCUGCGGGGAAAUAUGUCAUUUAAUCCCAGGGCUACUGAAGUCCCUUUUAUCAAGCGUCGUGAUGCUGGAAUUAUACUGCUGUAAAAGCGACUGAGUACUUAAAAGUAUCCAACAUCAGGCAAAUGUAUAGAUUGGAGGAAUGGGUGUAAAAUGAAGGCACGUACAAACUAAUCACAGGAGCGUGAAAACCCCAAGAGGAUUAGAUAAAUAUAAAUAGAUGUGCAUUAAAAAAAAAAAAAGCACGAUAAAACUCUAGCUGCUGUAUUCACACAAGGAGAACAGACAGCGUGUGCAUGUUUGUGUGCAAUGCCAAAAAGAGCAGCCUUAAGGUUGACCUACUGCAAUCUGCACUGAGCUCCUCAGACAAUAGACAAGUUCAAAUGUCAAAAAAUCUAAUAAUAAUAACCAGAGCUGCCAAACUGCACGAACUGUUUUCUGGUGUAUCACAAUUAUUCACCCUCAUAUCCACUAAAAGACUUCCAGUCCUUAUGCGUGUAAAAGAAAAUCUAUGUAAUGCAUAUGGAUUUUUUUUUAUCACAUGUGAAACGCCAUUGAGAUGGCAAGCACGCAAAUCGGAAUGAUAUCAUGUCUAAUAAAAGCAGGGCUAAGGUUUUCACAGUCUCUUUUAAAAGACUCCAACUUGUAAAUCCCCUUUUAAUGUCGCUACAUGCACAAUUAUUCUUAUUAAUAAAAAUCUACAUGUUCAAGGGCCUGGAUUGAAACUAUGUAUCCCUCUGAUUUUAACAUCGGUGGGAGCAUUAGGUUUCCCUCAUAUGUAAUGUGUCUACGUUGAGCUCAAGUCAACAGAUAGAUUGUUCCAUUCAUUUGGCAACUCUCAUUACAGUCCAUGUGAGGUGAACCCUGAGCAAGACACGUUGGGUAAUAUCAAAAUUAUGCAGCUGGGAAAUAAAGGAAUCUUGCUUUGCAUGUGCAGUUCUGUAUUAUUGUUCUAAUUUAUUACAGAACCCGAAAUGCUUUGUUAUGCUCAAAACAAUAAAUAAGGCUCUGAGUGAAGCCUUCAGAAUAAAAGGUAUGGAUAAAUGA